CCUCUCCUCCCUCAACUUCCCCCUGUUGGGAUGACCUUGGUUCCCACAAGAAAACCUUUUGUUUUGACUAUUAGCAAACAUAUCUAUCUUCCCCCUCCCUUCCCCCUCUCAGAGUUUAGCAAAAGUAAUAGCAAUAGCACUUAGACUUAUACACCAC